AUUGAACGCUGGCGGCAGGCCUAACACAUGCAAGUCGAGCGGAUGAAGGGAGCUUGCUCCUGGAUUCAGCGGCGGACGGGUGAGUAAUGCCUAGGAAUCUGCCUGGUAGUGGGGGAUAACGUCCGGAAACGGGCGCUAAUACCGCAUACGUCCUGAGGGAGAAAGUGGGGGAUCUUCGGACCUCACGCUAUCAGAUGAGCCUAGGUCGGAUUAGCUAGUUGGUGGGGUAAAGGCCUACCAAGGCGACGAUCCGUAACUGGUCUGAGAGGAUGAGCAGUCACACUGGAACUGAGACACGGUCCAGACUCCUACGGGAGGCAGCAGUGGGGAAUAUUGGGCAAUGGGCGAAAGCCUGAUCCAGCCAUGCCGCGUGUGUGAAGAAGGUCUUCGGAUUGUAAAGCACUUUAAGUUGGGAGGAAGGGCAGUAAGUUAAUACCUUGCUGUUUUGACGUUACCAACAGAAUAAGCACCGGCUAACUUCGUG
rnacentral:rRNA from 1 species